rnacentral:rRNA from 1 species
UGGGGAAUAUUGGACAAUGGGCGAAAGCCUGAUCCAGCAAUGCCGCGUGGAUGAAGAAGGUCUUCGGAUUGUAAAGUCCUUUCGGCGGGGACGAUGAUGACGGUACCCGCAGAAGAAGCCCCGGCUAACUUCGUGCCAGCAGCCGCGGUAAUACGAAGGGGGCUAGCGUUGCUCGGAAUGACUGGGCGUAAAGGGCGCGUAGGCGGUUUGAUCAGUUAGGUGUGAAAUUCCUGGGCUUAACCUGGGGGCUGCACUUAAUACGGUCAGACUUGAGUGUGAAAGAGGGUCGUGGAAUUCCCAGUGUAGAGGUGAAAUUCGUAGAUAUUGGGAAGAACACCGGUGGCGAAGGCGGCGACCUGGUUCAUUACUGACGCUGAGGCGCGAAAGCGUGGGGAGCAAACAGG